rfam:Clostridiaceae bacterium BRH_c20a BRHa_1005227, whole genome shotgun sequence.
CGAAUGUUACAUGGUAAGGAAUAGCCAACCGCCAUUACCUAGCCUUGGAGCCAAAAGAGUAAUCUUAGGUUUAAGCGUAGGCAAGGGAGAUAGCGAGCCGUAAGCGAAAGCUGAAGGGAUUGAGCCCCGUAAGCCCGAUGAGAAGGUCGAUGUGUUGGAACCAGCAGCAGACAAAAUCUGAUUAUGCGUUAAAGGCAAGUAUAAUCAGGCUUCUCCGGGGUCGGAGACCA